rnacentral:tRNA from 1 species
GGGGUCAUAGUGUAAUCCGGUAUCACAACAGCCUCCAGAGCUGUGAAUCUGGGUUCAAAUCCCAGUGACCCCA